rnacentral:rRNA from 1 species
GAUGAACGCUGGCGGCGUGCCUAAUACAUGCAAGUCGAGCGAACAGAUGAGGAGCUUGCUCCUCUGACGUUAGCGGCGGACGGGUGAGUAACACGUGGAUAACCUACCUAUAAGACUGGGAUAACUUCGGGAAACCGGAGCUAAUACCGGAUAAUAUAUUGAACCGCAUGGUUCAAUAGUGAAAGACGGUUUUGCUGUCACUUAUAGAUGGAUCCGCGCCGCAUUAGCUAGUUGGUAAGGUAACGGCUUACCAAGGCGACGAUGCGUAGCUGACCUGAGAGGGUGAUCGGCCACACUGGAACUGAGACACGGUCCAGACUCCUACGGGAGGCAGCAGUAGGGAAUCUUCCGCAAUGGGCGAAAGCCUGACGGAGCAACGCCGCGUGAGUGAUGAAGGUCUUCGGAUCGUAAAACUCUGUUAUUAGGGAAGAACAAAUGUGUAAGUAACUAUGCACGUCUUGACGGUACCUAAUCAGAAAGCCACGGCUAACUACGUG